rnacentral:rRNA from 1 species
GAGUUUGAUCCUGGUUCAGAUUGAACGCUGGCGGCAUGCCUUACACAUGCAAGUCGAACGGUAACAGGUCUUCGGAUGCUGACGAGUGGCGAACGGGUGAGUAACACAUCGGAACGUGCCCGAUCGUGGGGGAUAACGAAGCGAAAGCUUUGCUAAUACCGCAUACGAUCUACGGAUGAAGGCAGGGGACCGCAAGGCCUUGCGCGAACGGAGCGGCCGAUGGCAGAUUAGGUAGUUGGUGGGAUAAAAGCUUACCAAGCCGACGAUCUGUAGCUGGUCUGAGAGGACGACCAGCCACACUGGGACUGAGACACGGCCCAGACUCCUACGGGAGGCAGCAGUGGGGAAUUUUGGACAAUGGGCGCAAGCCUGAUCCAGCAAUGCCGCGUGCAGGAUGAAGGCCUUCGGGUUGUAAACUGCUUUUGUACGGAACGAAAAGGUCCUGGUUAAUACCUGGGGCCGAUGACGGUACCGUAAGAAUAAGCACCGGCUAACUACGUGCCAGCAGCCGCGGUAAUACGUAGGGUGCAAGCGUUAAUCGGAAUUACUGGGCGUAAAGCGUGCGCAGGCGGUUAUGUAAGACAGAUGUGAAAUCCCCGGGCUCAACCUGGGAACUGCAUUUGUGACUGCAUAGCUAGAGUACGGCAGAGGGGGAUGGAAUUCCGCGUGUAGCAGUGAAAUGCGUAGAUAUGCGGAGGAACACCGAUGGCGAAGGCAAUCCCCUGGGCCUGUACUGACGCUCAUGCACGAAAGCGUGGGGAGCA